rnacentral:lncRNA from 1 species
UUGCUAAGACUAUGUAUACAAUCAAAUCAAUAUAAAGAAUGUUAUUUCAAAACAACAGUACACCUAACACUAUAUAGAUAUAAUAAAGCUAAUGUUAGCUAGCUAAUGAGAAGCUGAUCUCUGCUCUUGCCUCGCGUCAUUUCUAUUGAGAAAAUACCAUACGCCUGAUAUAGGAUUUCCCAGAUUCUCCCCAAAAUGUACAUUACCUUUCAAAAGAUUGUGGUCACUUACAAAUGUCCUUGUUUUUGAAAGAAAAUCACUUUUUUUGUCCAUUUAAAAUAACAUCAAAUUGAUCAGAAAUUUUUAUUUUACCUUUUAUUUAACUAGGUAAGUCAGUUAAGAACAUUAAGAACAAAAAAUUCUUAUUUACAAUGACGGCCAAGCCCUAACCCGAACGACGCUGGGCCAAUUGUGCGCCGCCCUAUGGGACUCCUAAUCACGGCCGGUUGUGAUACAGCCUGGAAACGAACCAGGAGGGUCUGAGUGAAGCGACCCACAGCACCAGUGGAAGGGAGGCAGGACGUUCCACUCAGGGAGGAGGGGCAGACACCCCAGCUCUCACUCAGAGAGGGACUCCCUUGUUGCACCCCAAACCAUCAACCUCAGGUAACAGGGACAGGAACAGACUGUUAGAAUUUUGAUAUUAUGAUUUUAUUUGGUCUGAGAGAAAAGAUGGGGCACAUUGACUGUUUCUGGAAAAACACUUAUAAACAAUAAUUAUUAUUAUCUUAUUCCACAUGCAAUACGGCUAUUAUUUUCAGUUGUGUGUGUAGUGCCUCCAGAAAGUAUUCACACCCCUUGACUUUUUCCCCAAAACAUUUUGUUACAGCCUGAAUUAUUAUUUAUUUAAUUGAGAUGUUUUUGUCACUGGCCUACACACAAUACCCCAUAAUGUCAAAGUUAAAUUAUGUUUUCAAAAUUGUUACUAAUUAAUGAAACAUUUUUAAAGUUGAAAUGUCUGUUCAACCCAUUUGUUCCUGAGUAAACAUUUGCUUAACAAGUCACAUAAUAAGUUGCCUGGACUCACUCUGUGUGCAAUAAUAGUGUUUACCUUAAUUUUUGAAUGACUACCUCAUCUCUGUACCCCAAAAAAUACAAUAAUCUAUAAGGUCCCUCAGUCGAGCAGUAAAUGUCAAAUAAACACCAGGGAUGUUUACCAUUGCCUCACAGAGAAGGGCACUUAUUGGUAGAUGGGUAAAAAAAAGCAAACAUUGAAUAUCCUUUUGAGCAUGGUGAAGUUAGUCAUUUCACUUUGGAUGGUCUAUCAAUACAUUACAAAGAUACAGGCGUCCUUCCUAACUCAGUUGCCGGAGAGGAAGGAAACCACUCAGGGAAUUUCACCAUGAGCCCAAUGGUGACUUUAAAAUUGUUAUAGUUUAAUGGCUGUGAUAGGAGAAAACUGAGGCUGGAUCAACAUUGUAGUUACUACACAAAACUAACCUAAUUGACAGAGUGAAAAUAAGGAAACCUGUACAGAAUAAAGAAUAUUCCAAAACAUGCAUUCUGUUUGCAAAAGGCACACAAAUAAUACUGCAACGAUUGUGGCAAAGCAAUUCACUUUUUAUCCUGAAUACAAAGUGUUAUGUUUGGGGCAAAUAUACCACAUUACUGAAUACCAUUCUCCAUAUUUUCAAGCAUAGUG